UACGAAGGGGGCUAGCGUUGCUCGGAAUCACUGGGCGUAAAGCGCACGUAGGCGGAUUGCUAAGUCAGGGGUGAAAUCCUGGAGCUCAACUCCAGAACUGCCUUUGAUACUGGCGAUCUCGAGUCCGGGAGAGGUGAGUGGAACUGCGAGUGUAGAGGUGAAAUUCGUAGAUAUUCGCAAGAACACCAGUGGCGAAGGCGACUACCUGGCCUGUUCUUGACGCUGAGGCGCGAAAGCUAGGGGAGCAAACGGG
rnacentral:rRNA from 1 species